GAGGAGGAUGAGGGGAUUGCAGGAAGCAAAUGCUUCUGUACCUCAAGACCUCCAAGGGGACCUCAGUCUCCAGAACUCAGGAUUGCUUUGUAAACAGCAGCACAAACCCGUUCUGAUAGUGGUUCUGCACCAAUGCGUGGCGGCUGCCUGGCACAGCGUGUGGCCGAGACAAGCCCCUGCACCUGUCACCAGGGCCAAGAGGGCCAGGAGGGAGACCGCCUGCACAUGCAGGGGAGCCCAGAGUGGUGACAAGGUCACUGUAUCCCUUCCUGCAGCUCUGAGCUCCUCCCUGAAGGCACCGAGGAAAGACUGCCCUG